GUUCAAUAGAUCAAUCGGUGUUUAUCUUUGCUAUGAAUUGUAUUAACAAAUUAUUUACUUAUACCUAUUAUGAAGAAUUCUACAAAAACCAAAUUUAGGGUUCAGGAUGUUUUUCCCAUUAUUCCCAAGCGUUAUGGCGAAGAUGUCAAUCUUUAGGGUUGGUAAGCUUGUACCUGAACCACUCCAAUGUUCACAAAGUUGUUAGGCGCAUGACAACUUUGCCUUUUUGUAAGGAGGAAGAUGUAUCUAGGGUAAGGCAAAAUUGUUAUAUUAUGGCGUCUGAAAAUCCCAUGCUCAUGGGUUUUAUGGAGUAUAUAGAUACGACAUGGCUAGGCCUUAAUGCCAUAUUUCCUCAUGGCAUAUGGACAAGAUAUAAAGUCGAUGGUCCCAGCACCAAUAAUCAAUUAGAGGGGUUUCAUCAUGCCUUAAAGAGAAAAACGGCACACGCUCACCCAAAUGUUUAUAUUCUUAUCAUCAACAUUCUAACGACCUCAAAAUUAUCCAGAUCAAUAAUGGAUCUAGAGG